UACGUAGGGGGCAAGCGUUGUCCGGAAUCAUUGGGCGUAAAGAGCGUGUAGGCGGCCCGAUAAGUCCGCUGUGAAAGUCAAAGGCUCAACCUUUGAAUGUCAGCGGAUACUGCCGGGCUAGAGUCCGGAAGAGGCGAGUGGAACUCCUGGUGUAGCGGUGGAAUGCGCAGAUAUCAGGAAGAACACCAACGGCGAAGGCAGCUCGCUGGGACGGAACUGACGCUGAGGCGCGAAAGCGUGGGGAGCGAACAGG
rnacentral:rRNA from 1 species